rnacentral:rRNA from 1 species
AUGCAGUCGACGCUGAAAGCCGGGUGCUUGCACCUGGUGGAUGAGUGGCGAACGGGUGAGUAACACGUGAGUAACCUGCCCCUGAUUUCGGGAUAAGCCUGGGAAACCGGGUCUAAUACCGGAUACGACCGGAGAAGGCAUCUUCUCUGGUGGAAAGUUUUUUCGAUCGGGGAUGGGCUCGCGGCCUAUCAGCUUGUUGGUGGGGUAAKGGCCCACCAAGGCGACGACGGGUAGCCGGCCUGAGAGGGCGACCGGCCACACUGGGACUGAGACACGGCCCAGACUCCUACGGGAGGCAGCAGUGGGGAAUAUUGCACAAUGGGGGAAACCCUGAUGCAGCGACGCAGCGUGCGGGAUGACGGCCUUCGGGUUGUAAACCGCUUUCAGCAGGGAAGAAGCCGUAAGGUGACGGUACCUGCAGAAGAAGUACCGGCUAACUACGUGCCAGCAGCCGCGGUAAUACGUAGGGUACGAGCGUUGUCCGGAAUUAUUGGGCGUAAAGAGCUCGUAGGUGGUUGGUCACGUCUGCUGUGGAAACGCAACGCUUAACGUUGCGCGUGCAGUGGGUACGGGCUGACUAGAGUGCAGUAGGGGAGUCUGGAAUUCCUGGUGUAGCGGUGAAAUGCGCAGAUAUCAGGAGGAACACCGGUGGCGAAGGCGGGACUCUGGGCUGUAACUGACACUGAGGAGCGAAAGCAUGGGGAGCGAACAGGAUUAGAUACCCUGGUAGUCCAUGCCGUAAACGUUGGGCACUAGGUGUGGGGGACAUUCCACGUUCUCCGCGCCGUAGCUAACGCAUUAAGUGCCCCGCCUGGGGAGUACGGUCGCAAGGCUAAAACUCAAAGGRAUUGACGGGGGCCCGCACAAGCGGCGGARCAUGCGGAUUAAUUCGAUGCAACGCGAAGAACCUUACCAAGGCUUGACAUACACCAGACCGUUCUGGAAACAGUUCYUCUCUUUGGARCUGGUGUACAGGUGGUGCAUGGUUGUCSUCAGCUCGUGUCGUGAGAUGUUGGGUUAAGUCCCGCAACGASCGCAACCCUCGUUCUAUGKUGCCAGCACGUGAUGGUGGGAACYCAWAGGAGAMUGCCGGGGUCAACUCGGARGAAGGUGGGGAUGACGUCAAAUCAUCAUGCCCUU